GGCCUGUGAUGGCUGUUGGCAUGUAUUGUCUGAGCGUGAAUCUGAAGCUCUAGAAUUACUCUGAGGCCCG
rnacentral:snoRNA from 1 species